rnacentral:tRNA from 1 species
GCCCGCCUGGCGCAAUGGUGGCGCGCCAGACUUCUAAUCCACGACUUAAGUAAUCAAAGUGCUUACGUAAGCUGUUGUUUAUGUAAUCUGGAGGCUGCGGGUUCGAGUCCCGCGGUGGGUU